rnacentral:rRNA from 1 species
UACGGAGGGGGCAAGCGUUAUUCGGAAUCAUUGGGCGUAAAGGGCGCGUAGGCGGCUUGGCAAGUCAAAGGUGAAAUCCCUCGGCCUAACCGAGGAACUGCCUUUGAUACUGCUUCGCUUGAGGCCGGGAGAGGGUAGCGGAAUUCCCAGUGUAGCGGUGAAAUGCGUAGAUAUUGGGAGGAACACCAGUGGCGAAGGCGGCUACCUGGACCGGUUCUGACGCUGAUGCGCGAAAGCGUGGGGAGCGAACAGG